CGUUGGAGCAACAUCCGCGGAGGGUGUGGGCGCGCGUGCGGGCUGUGGCUCGCGCUGCCACCGCGGGGCGGCAACCACCAACUGACGCAGGGGCCCGUCCCGCGUGAGCACGGCGGGGGCAAAGGGCUGCCCUGCCCGCCCGCCCGCCCGCAGGGGCGCCGCUGUCGCCAGAAAGAAUCAUGUAAUAGUGUAGUCCAACUUAGAAGAGGAACCUUCCUAAGCAGAAAAACAGAUUCUGGCACUCAGACUGGAGCUCUUGGAGAGCUAUAUCUUGUGAAGCCACAGCAUGACCAGGAGCAAGGCCAGCGAUCUGCAGAUACUUACAAGCAAGCAUACAACUUCAUAAUGUUACAUAAAUAGAUGCCUGAAAAACAGGGAAUAGUCUAGAAAACUUACUUAUACAAUUAGUGAAUUCUCACUCAAGGAAAAAAAUUCUGUACUAUACAUUCACUGCCCUUUCUUCAUCUGCUUAAGUAGAGCUUACAAAGUGAAUCCUAUAAACUCCCAGUACAGGACAUGAAAAGUAUACUGCAAGCAUAGGAGCAUCUCUGUAGUGCAAGAAUUAAGAUGAAGAAAUAGAAGGCUUUGAAAACAAAAUCAGCUUUUUCUGGAUGUGGAAAAUACCUGUGAUCUGAUGAAAAACUAAAUCAGCACUACCUCUGCUACUAUUGAGAUGACAGGUUGACCAAGGUGGGGAGGUCAGGUGGUCACUGUAACUGAGCCAUGCAGUACACUGGACUGGAACCUGCCUCAUCACAGUACCAGAGCGGGCAGCUGCCUGUGCUGUGCCUCAGCCCCUCCUCACGCAGGACUCCAGAGCCAGCAGGUAACUCCAGGGAAGCUCCUGCCUGUAAAUACCACUUCUCUGUGCAGCCAACUCCAGCUACGAGGAGUUCUGGCGACUGACUUCACUGUUGCUGUAGCGAACAGGAGUUUCUUCAUGUUCUGCUGAUUUGGUGGGGAGAAACUGCUUCAUUCCUUUCCACCAUCCUUUACAGAUUUUUUUUUUAAAAAAAGGUGUGAAGGUUGUUUUAUCUGUCUGCAACGAAGUCUUCACUGAAUGAAUGAAGUCAUCACUGAAGUCAUUCUUGUCAUCGUUGUUCUGAUGUGGUGGAGGCAUGGUAAUUUUUGGAGCACGGCCUUUAGAGAAAAAGUAAUUACAAAGGUGUUUGAAGUGCUAGUUUUUCAUGUUUCCUUUUUAAGAAAAGGGGGCUGGAUCUAUUUAUUCUAAAACUUUUGUUUGUGUUAUGUGAUAAGGAAAAGAAAAAAAACCAUAAACUUAUAACAUGGAAAACAA